AGCGAUUUAGCUCAGUGGUAGAACAUCUGCUUUGGAUGCAGAAGGUUUUGGGUUCAAUGGCUAAGUGUCCUGUAUUCACUG